rnacentral:lncRNA from 1 species
AAAAUUAUAACCCUGCACGCUGACUUGUAUGCUAUUAUCAUAGCCUGGCUGCUCCUGCGUUGAGGGACUUCGCCCCCGGGAUCGCUGACUGUCUGUGAAUGACAAAUCCAAAGUCAGGGGUUGCAGAGUCAGCCGGACUUGCCUGCUCUCGUGCAGCAGCGGGAGAAAACAGAAUGAAAGAUUCUGAAAAUAAAGGUAAGGGGCUGACAUCAGAGGGGCGGCUGGUAGACGCUUGGGGGAGAUGUCACGACGUGAAUGUGCUUAGUUUGUGCUGAUGGCUGGCUGCUUUGAUUACUGAUGUAUCUUCGUAAUUUUUAGUUAUGUAAUAUAUGUCCUCUUUAAGUGACUGUUUUCUAAAUACCAUGUCAUUCAGUUUUCCAUUUUUUUUGCGUUACUAAAAAUAUAUUUUUAUUCUUUAUUUAAUCUUGGCCAAGUACACAUAUCUCACAGUUUUCUUUAUAAUCGCUUCCAGAAUUUUGAUACUUUUAUUUUGGGAGUGUUUAUAAUUGUUAAUUAUUAAAAUGUACGGUUUCAGCCAAUUAUUGGAAUAGCUGGAGAUCGUGGUUCUUAAAACAGUUCGGGUUUUCUAGAGAGGCAUUGACUGAGAAUAUCCAGAUGAACGUUCGUUCAUCUUCUUUGGGAGGGCUCAGCAGGGAGUCGUAGUCGCUGACCUUCAGAACUGUUUACCUUGCACAGGGAUGUUCUGUUGCAAACUCCCCCUGCUCCCCGCCCCCCACCCCUCACUGCCUUUAAAAAAAGAAAAAAAAAAAAAAACCCACCAGCAUGAAUUCUGUUGGAGGGGAGGGCAAGGACAGAAACAGAUUGACGUGAAAGCCCCCCAACCAAGGACUCUGGAGGAUUUCGGGGUUCACCGCCGGGGCCCUGGGAAAUUUCUGCCGCAGCGGGGGGAGGGGCAACAGCCCCCAGCUCGCCCCAGCACACACGUGGUUCAGGGUCGCACUUCUUUCUGCAUCCUUGAUUCUCUAGAUCCUGGUGCCUGCCGAGGGGCCGACAUCUCCGCAGCCUGGAGCUCAGGCCGUGCUUCUCCGCAGCUGCUCAGUUUGCUCGCGCCGCCGAAGCUUCCUGGGGCCUUGUGGUUUCCCCUUGGCAGGGCAGGUGCGCAGGUGCAGGCCGGUGGUGCCAGGUGACCGCUCGUCCCAGCCCCUGCCUGCCUGCAUGCCCCGUAGCAGGUGUGGCCUUCCCCACAGGAGUCUGACCUCUGGUUGUUAAAAGAUUUCUACCUGGUGAUGGACAGCGGUAUAUGCACCCAUAAACACCCGAGCAAAGAGUGAUCAUGAGUCUUUUACAGUGUGAUGGAUGCCAGGGGCGAGGCUGGCUUUCCAGUCUACCAGAAGCAACGCAGUGUCUUAAUGGAUCCGGGGUUUCUCUGAUCGCGCCUUAAAAGUGACUGGGUGGGGCCUGGGGUUGUUGGCACCAUCAGCUCAGAGGCUUUGGACCCUUCACAUUCACGCAUUGAGCCAUGUGGUUUUGGUGCUUAAAUUUUAAUUAAGCAGUUCCAGGGAGGAAGAAACAGCUGUGUGAGGCCGGGCUGAAAGCAUAGAGGACAGUUCUCUUCUGUCUCCUAGCCAGCCGCCACUCAUGGACAAAUAACUCCUAUGUGGCCAAACUAUUCAAAAUCAGUUUCCGAAGAGGGCACUUCCUUGCUGUUUGCAGGGGCUAGAGAAAGGGUUAAUGCAGAAAGAGGGGAAAAAUGCCUAUUUGUCAAGUCAUGCUAGGCCAUGGACAUGGCUUAGAAACAAUUAAAGCUGUCUGAAUCACAGGCUCAGGCCCGGCUCAUUUAAGCUUCAGGUCUACUGACCUUUUUAAUGGGAGCUGGUAUUUGGAAUUUUUGUAUUGCUCUGUGUUGGAAAGAGCCGCGGGCUGUCAAUCCAAACAGGCAGGUUCUGACUUGUUCAGCCAUCUCUCCUUAGAAACCGGGACAAGACUGUUGAUUUUCUUGGGUCUCAGUUUAUCUCCUGAAUGGCGUGAUAUUAGAUGACAUUAAUGCUUUUUCAGAUCGUGAGGGAUUUGGGUAUAUCGGGAGCAACAUUUCAGACAGGCACAGUAGAAAAAAGUUCAUCUUAGAAACUAUUGAACGUAUGUGAGUAACUUGUUUUUGAAGCUGUUGGUAUGUGCAGACAUGUGGGCUGUAUUCUGUUAUCAAGACUAUGUUCUUUGAGUCCUAACCAAAACACACCGAAGAAUGAUGAAACAAGCCAUAACAGGUUUCAUUUUGAAAGAGUCUGUGAAAUGCAAGCAUACAUGUGCAUCCAACCAUAUAUGUGCUAUUGAAAGAAAGAUGAAGUCAGCAAUUGCCCUCUGAUUUACAAAGAUGUCUGAGAAUCCAAACAGGUCACGAGUUAAUGUAUAUCUAGGGUCCCCUGAGAGGCUUUCAGGCCAAUUUCUUGCUGUGCUGGGAGAUGUGUCUAUGUUGAGGAGUGGAUAAGAGUGUGUGUGAUAUCAUGUAUGAGGUGCAUGUAUGUGCACACAGACACGAGAAUGCAUUCAGAGAGAGUAUGAACACGUCCACCAGACCAGGAGAGCUAUUUUUGGGAAGCAAAGCACCAGUUGUUGACCUGAAUAUGAAAUAAAUGU